UACAGAGGUCUCAAGCGUUGUUCGGAUUCAUUGGGCGUAAAGGGUGCGUAGGCGGCGCGGUAAGUUGGGUGUGAAAUCCCUCGGCUCAACCGAGGAACUGCGCCCAAUACUACCGUGCUCGAGGGAGAUAGAGGUGAGCGGAACUUAGGGUGGAGCGGUGAAAUGCGUUGAUAUCCUAAGGAACACCGGUGGCGAAAGCGGCUCACUGGAUCUCUUCUGACGCUGAGGCACGAAAGCUAGGGUAGCGAACGGG
rnacentral:rRNA from 1 species